rnacentral:rRNA from 1 species
GACGUAGGGCGCGAGCGUUGUCCGGAUUCAUUGGGCGUAAAGAGCUCGUAGGCGGCUUGUUGCGUCGACUGUGAAAACCCGCGGCUUAACUGCGGGCUUGCAGUUGAUACGGGCAGGCUAGAGUUCGGUAGGGGAGACUGGAAUUCCUGGUGUAGCGGUGAAAUGCGCAGAUAUCAGGAGGAACACCGGUGGCGAAGGCGGGUCUCUGGGCCGUAACUGACGCUGAGGAGCGAAAGCCAGGGGAGCGAACGGG